rnacentral:rRNA from 1 species
CAGACGUCAUCUCGGCAAAUCCCUGAG